rnacentral:rRNA from 1 species
AGGAUGAACGCUGGCGGCGCGCCUAAUACAUGCAAGUCGAGCGACGAAAGGAGAAGGGGUAACCCUUCUCCCUGAAAGCGGCGAACGGGUGAGUAACACGUGGGCAACGUGCCCUUGACUCUGGGAUAAUAACGGGAAACCGUUGCUAAUACCGGAUAAUCCAUACCUACCGCAUGGCAGGUUUGGCAAAGUUUUUCGGUCAAGGAUCGGCCCGCGUCCUAUCAGCUUGUUGGUGGGGUAAUGGCCUACCAAGGCGGUGACGGGUAGCUGGCGUGAGAGCGUGGCCAGCCACACUGGGACUGAGACACGGCCCAGACUCCUACGGGAGGCAGCAGUAGGGAAUCUUGCGCAAUGGGCGAAAGCCUGACGCAGCGACGCCGCGUGAGGGAUGAAUGCCUUCGGGUUGUAAACCUCUUUCAGCAGGGACGAAGCCUUCGGGUGACGGUACCUGCAGAAGAACGCCCCGGCUAACUACGUGCCAGCAGCCGC